CGCAGUAGCAAUGGAAAUGGAUGGGUAGCCAGCUUGGUAGACCAGAUAGUUGUCGAAUCAUCCAUAUUUACCAACCAAAGGGUGAAAAAUAGCCCGGAUGGCUAACAUGUCGCUCUGUCACUAAAUGGGGCCUCGAGAUGCCAGACAGGAUGACUGCGCAAACAUGGCUGUAACCUGGAGAAGGAACAGUUUCUUUCACACAUGCGAGGUUCUGGCAGAGGCAUUUUGUUGCUUCUUAGGGUUAGAAGAACUGAGCUAGCAAGAGUCUGUACUGUCUGUGCCUGACAGGAGAAUUUUCGAAAAGCUCAGAGCCACUGGUUGCACAAAUACCUGACUCCAGUAGCUCAGGAAGACUAUCAAAGAUGGGAAGUCAGCCUGCAAGCCCGAAGUGAGAGCUCACUUGCAGUUCUCCCUUUAGCCUAGAGGUUUCCUAGGCAACCACUUAAGCAGUAAUUAAAGAUGAAGAACUAAAAGACUUCCUCCAGUCCACCUGACUUCAAGGCACUUCCUCUUGCCCCAGCUCCUGAGCCUUCCUGCCCUUCUGCACAGUGCCAUCGACCACCCCUUUGCUGAGGGAUGCAUCAGCAUGUCCUGGGACUUCUACAGGGACUGAGAGAGUUGGAAAGAAACUCUCCCAGCCUCCUUGGUCUACGGAGGAAACAAUGGAUGGGCACCUUUGCAGGGAACACACUGACAUCAGCACUGCCUUGGAGAUAAAAAACAGUUGAGGAGAGAGAGGCUGAGAGAAAACGUCAACGACCCAGAGAUUCAGUAACCAAACAGCAGGAAGUGAUGAGAGUCUCCAAACAACUUUGAGAUGACUUUGGAAGGGACCCUGAUGCCACAUUGACUGAGCACCAACAGCCACUAGCCUGAUGUCCCCCACAAAAUGCAGAGUCAGGAGGAGCACCUCAUUGAGGCUGCACAAUGAAAGUGUGUAACAAGGAGGUCCAUGCAUGUAGCUGCUCGUCUUUCAGCUGAGGCUGUUCUAGUGAGGACAGGCUGGGUGCUAGGUCCCUGGAGGAGAAGUGGGGGCUUCUCAUGAACGCACGUGCACCUUUACACCCGUAUCAUGUGGGGUCUGCCAUAUGUCCCCAAGGACCCAAGACUAGUGAUCAUCUCUUGAACCUCUGCUGUAAGACAUCAGCAGUAAACACGGCACAGGUAGCCCAGAAGUAAUGUGGUUGGAUAGAGACCUUCCAAGCAUCAGCAGUGUGCAGACAUAGGCUCUGAGAGAGGCCCUGCUCCUCAGGCCAUUCCCAGGCCCUGCCUGAAGCAGUUACACUGAUGACAAGUGCUUUGUUUUCCCGCUGGACAUCAGUUUAAGAGGUAGAAUGAUUACCCUAGCAUGCACUCAUUCACAAGGCCUUGGGUUCGAGCCCCAGCACUCCAGAUACCGAGUGUGGUGGCACAUGCCCGCUGAUGAAGAGAUCCCAGGAGGCAUGGGAGUGAGGAGUUAAUCCUAAUAUUCACCCAGGUCAACCGGAGGAAGGGCUCCUGGCAUGGCAGGCACCUCCAAGACACAUUCCUGUGUGUCCUUUUGUUGACUCCUCCCCCGCAUUCCAAUCUCUACUUGUGCUGGAGCAAAGCAGUGGAGACGGUGUCCACGGAGCAGAUUAACCAUACUUUGCCCCAACCUGCCCAUGAUUAGGCAGCCAUUCCCUGGCUGGCAGUCCUUGGAGGGACAGACACAAUCCAGGAAACACUCAGCAAGAGUUGUGACCAGGACAUCAUAGCAAAAUGGAGCUCAUUUCUAGACCUCACAUACUCAGGUGUGUGUGUUUCUGGUACUGGGGAGACAGCUCAUCGAGAAAAGCCACUUGUCAUACAAACAUGAAGAUGUGUGUUUGCUUCCUAGAACCCACAUUUUAAAAAGCUGAGCACGGUGGUGACUGCUCAUAAUCCCAGCACUGGGGAAGGGGACAUGGGCAGGUCCCUGGAGCUCAUGGGCCAGUCAACCCAGCCUAGUUGCUGAACUACAAACUAGUGAGAGAGCCUGUUUCAUCAAAGUGGAUGGCUCCUGAGGAAUGGCCCCCGAGGUUUCCUGGCUACUAAACACACAUAUGUGUGUAUACAUGUCCCUGUACCCAUGAACUUGCCUGGGCACACAUAACAGACACAAAGCCAAAUGCUUCUCUGUCUACUUUUCAGGGCACAAUAGGCCACUGUCAUUGUCCUUUCCACGUGUCAUCUCUGGCCACACACCUCAUCCUUACUGUUUUCUCAGCUAGCAGGCUGUACAUUUUUUCUCUCUUUGAAACAGGGUCUCAGUGUAGUUCUGGCUGUCCUGGAACUCACUAUGUGGGCCAAACUAGCCUUGAGCUGAGCUCCAGCUGCCUCUAACCUCCUGAGUACCGGCAUUAAAGCCUGCUGUCUGUAAGCUUCUUAAUUCAGGGUCUCUGCACAUAUGGGCCACAAAGUGCUAUUUCCCACACACUUUGUCUGUGAAGCAGUCUGAAAAGCAGCAGGUUUAGUGGACAUUGUCUGAGGAACCCAUGACAUGCCUGUUGUCAUUCUCCACACAUGAAGAAAUACUGCUGUGCCUGGCCUGCCCGCAGCUUGCUCUGAGCCAGGAUGUAUUCUGACUGUUCAAAACACUACUGGUGUUUUGGUCCCAUGCAGGCUCCCCAGCUGUCAGUCUAGAGUCUGAAAGCUCCCACAAGCUCUCAGCUGUGCUCAGCUGUCUCUGUGGGUUUCCACAUCAUGAUCUUGGCCUCCCCCCUUGCUCAUAUAAUCCCUCCUCCCUCUCUUCACUUGGACUCCCAGAGCUCAGCCUGGUGCUUAGCUGUGGAUCUCUGCAUUGCUUCCAUCAGUUACUGGAUGAAAGUUCUAUGAUGGCAGUUAGGGUAAUAAUCAAUCUGAUUACAGGAGAAAGCCAGCUCAGGCACCCUCUCCUCUAUUACUAGGCGUCUUAGAGGUCAUCCUUGUGGAUUCCUGGGAGUUUCCCUGGCACCAGGUUUCUCCCUAACCUCAUCAUGGCUCCCUCUAUCAAGAUAUCUCUUUCAUUGCUGUCCCUCUCCAUCUCUCCCCCAACCCGGCCAUCCUGAUAACUCAAGUUCCCAUCCCUUAUCCCCAUCCCCCUGCGUUCCCCGUCCCCAAUUUACCCAGGAGACCUCGUCUAUUUCCCAUUCCCAGGGCUAUUUAUGGGACCCUCUUAGGGUCCUUGCUUGUUACCUAGCUUCUCUGGAGCUGUGGAUUGAAGCCUGGUUAUCCUUUGCUUUACGUCACUAUCCACUUACGUCAUCCUGGUGCAUGAGCUGGCUUUCUGGAGCCCAUUCCCUAUGGUGGGAUGCCUUGCUCAACCUUAAUUCGGGGGGGGGGGGUGCGGGGGGAGACUUAGU
rnacentral:lncRNA from 1 species